ACUCACUUGCCAGCCGCGGUCCAUCGAGUCCCCCGCUACUGCCUCCUCCGCCGGCUGCGGCUCCGGUCCCCGGGUCCCCCAGGUCCGGCUUCUUGGGCCCGGGGGGCGGCCCAGCUCCCCCGCCCGCGACGGCUCCCGGCGGAAAGCCGGCCACGGGUGCACCAGCCAGAGCCAGGGGGACGCUGUUGCUAUGGAGGCCGAGGCCCGGGGCAGCCCCGGCGGCAGGGUCCUCAUGCAGGAACUGACACUCCUCCCCGUAGAAGCAAGUCUUAUCCUUAGCGUAGUAGCGGCAGUACUUCAGCUUCACUCCUACCGCCGCCCCGCCGGGGACACCCCCGACCCCCGGCGGGGCCACCACCGCCACCGCCGCCGCCAGCGAGGAGGAGGAAGGGGAGGCGGCGGCCGAGGGGGGCGGGAGGCCGCCGCCACUGUUCAUGGCAACGCCGCAGCCUCGUCUUCCGCCGCCGCCCGAGGAGCCGCCGCCGCCACCACCAUAGACGGGGGAGGAAAGGAAGACGCUGCCGGUGCCGGAUAAAAGCCUGGGCGGGGGCCGCGCGGGACGACGGGGUGAGCGCGCGGGCCCAGACGGGGACUUCGAGGGCGCGGGCAGGGGAAGAGGGAGCGGCAGCGGCAAGCGGGUGGGGAAGGCGGAGGGGCCGGUUUAUUUUUAAAUUCUGCCUCCACUCGCUCUCUCGCGCUCUGGUUCCUCCGAGUUGUUUAUUCCAUUUUCCUCUUCCUGAGACGGCCGUCGCCGCUGCGCGUGCGCGCUGAGACGCGAGGGCUUAUGGGUAGCGGGAGCGCUAGGGGAAGCCUGGCCGGCGUCGGGCCCCCGGGGGCAUCCGCGAGCUAUCGGCGGUUGGACCGGCGGCUCUCGGUGGGGUUCCGGACGCGGAUCUGGCGCCGAAUUCUCACGAGACCUGAUACCUUCCUUAUUUGUAUAUUCUCUUACUUAAAAAGCCAGAUGUCUUUUUUUUUUUUUUCAUUGAAAAGAGAAAAUUGACAAGGUAAACGGUCGUUUGGAGGGGCCACCUGGGGACGCGGCCCGAGCCCUGGCUCUACCUGAAGAAUAUCUUCUAUUUGCCACACUUCCUCUCCCCGUUUCCUUUCUUCGCCCCUCUCCUCUUUCCCCUUCCCCUCGAAGGUAAUGAGAACUACUGGACCGAUUACGCUAACCUCUUGGCCCUUUGUCAAAAAAUGGAGCCAAAAAGGUUGAUUUAGACAGACCCCCUGCUCAGUGCAGCACCUGUUAUUCUCUGUAUUUAUAUUACCAAGGGCCUUCGGUAAAUUAUGAAAAAUAGGAUGCCACCUGGGACAACACUGCUUAGACAGCACUGGAAGACCUUUAUAAAUAUACUAGGUUGCUUUUCUCCAAUCAGCCUAGCCUUGAUUUGAAAUUCAUUUUUAUUUUUUUUGAGACGGUGAAAUUCAUUUUUAAAAGAUAGUUUUAACCUCAGCGAUCUCUGAUGUUUGCGCUAAUACCCUUUUAAAGGCUUUCAGAAAUUUUAAAGAAUUGCUAUGAAAGGAAAAGUAACAUUCUAGUUUUUCUCUGUAAAAGAGGUUCACAAACGGCAGAUCGCUGUUAUGAAAAGGAGGGGUGGAAGUAUUUAAGGAAUUGUGGCAAACAAAGUCACAGAAGAAUGGAUAUAAGCAAAAGUAGCACACUGAAAAAAAUGGGGAAAAGUGGAGUCUAGAUCACAAACUGGUAAGCUUGGUGAUGUUCUCUAGCCAAAUUCGAAGGUAAUAACAUUGUAUUAUGGCUUUCUGUUUAAAAGCAGUUUCGCUUAUUUGAUUAUUCAACAAAUCUUUAUUAACACGCAUUACGUGUACCAGAAACUGUGGUACACUUAACUGUGGAGCUGGGGAAGCAAAAGUGAACAUGCCGCCUUAAGUGAGUUCAGAUGGCUUAUCUUCCGGUUGGGGAGGCAUCAAGUACACAGGUCCGUUGUAAACCAGUGUCUUAAGUGCUAACCUUAUCACAUUUGCUAUUAGAGGAUAUUAAACAUGUCAGACUUCUUGGAGAAAGUUGAUAUUUUCAUGUUCCAAGUUUGGGAACAUCAUUGAAUUCAGACAGAUCUGGAUUGAAACAGAUUAAAGUGCCUACACUUUAAUAGCUGUGUUCCUCUCAGUUAAUUGCUUCAUUUCUCUGUGCCUUGUCUGUACACCUGGAUUAAGAAUAGUACCUACUUCAUAAAGUAUAACUAAUAAUGUAUAUAAACUGUCCCAUGCCUAAUAAGAAUUCGGUAGGUUGUAACUAUUAUUAAUAGUAUUGGCCAGGCGCAGUGGCUCACGCCUGUAAUCCCAGCACUUUGGGAGGCCAAGGCGGGUGGAUCACCUGAGAUCAGGAGUUCGAGACCAGUCUGGCCAACCUGGUAAAACACCGUCUCUACAAAAAUACAAAAAAAUUACUGGGCGUGGUGGCGAGCGCCUGUGAUCCCAGCUACUGGGGAGGCUGAGACAUAAGAAUCACUUGAACCUGGGAAGCAGAGGUUGCAGUGAGCCGAGAUCUCGUCAUUGCACGCCAGCCUGGGCGACAGAGCGAGACUCCAUCUCGAAAAAAAAGUAGUAUUGCUGCUAGUGGUAGUCAGUGUAUAGUCAAAGAGCAUUCUAGGCAAACAGCUUUUAUUGUUAGAAUACAGUGAUAGUGGAAAAUGGAGCAGAGUCCACAAAAGUCCUUGUAGGGCCAUGUUAAAGAAUUGAACUUUUGGCCAGGCGCAGUGGCUCACGCCUGUAAUCCCAGCACUUUGGGAGGCUGAGGCGAGCAGAUCACGAGGUCAGGAGUUCAAGACCAGCCUGGCCAACAUGGUGAAACCCCCGUCUCUGCUAAAAAUACAAAAAUUAGCUGGGUGUGGUAGCAGGCACCUGUAAUCUCACCUACUCGGGAGGCUGAGACAGAAGAAUUGCUUGAACCCGGGAGGCAGAGGUUGCAGUGAGAUCGCACCACUGCACUCUAGCCUGGGCGACAGAGCAAGGCUCCAUCUCAAAAAAAAAAAAAAGAAUUGAACUUUUUCUUGAGGACAAUUGGAAGUUAUUACAGGGUUUUUAAAAGUCAACAUGGCAGGGCACAGUGGCUCACACCUCUAACCUCACUGCUUUGGAAGGAAGCCAAGGCAAGAGGAUCACUUGAGGCCGGGAGUUCAAGACCCUCUUGGGAAAACUAGCAAGACCCUGUCUAUACAAAACAAUUUAAAAAUUAGCCAGGUGUAGAGGCACUUGCCUAUAGUCCUAGCUACUGGGGAGGCUGAGGCAGAGGAUCAUUUGGGCUCAGGAGUUCCAGGAUGCAGUGAGCUUUGAAGGCGCCAUUUUAUGCCAACCUGCACAGCAGUGAGACCCUCUCGGUCAAUAAAUAAAAAAUAAACUUAUUUGCCACACAUUUCAUAUCUCCACACUUUUUUAGGAGACAACUACUUAUUCCUAUAGUAGGGUUGUCUUUUUAAGCAGGGUUCAUUGUUGAGUAUUCCUUUACUAAAAAUAAAUAUGUAGUCAACUCUAAGUUAUUUUCAUGUUAAUGAAGAUUACAUCCAAAACUGCAAAUAAUCCAUAAAUUAUUCAUAAAAUGUAUACUUGACCUCCAACAGCAUUUCCCCAGCAACAGAGACUACAUUGCUAAAGGGUAAUGUUAAUUUCUAUUAAAUGCUAAUAAUUGAGGCCAAGCGCAUUGGCUCACACCUGUAAUCCUAGCACUUUGGGAGGCGGAAGUGGGUGGAUCACUUGAGGUAAGGAGUUUGAGACCAGCCUGACCAACGUGGUGAAACCCCGUCUCUACCAAAAAUACAGAAAAUUAGCUAGGCAUGGUGGCAGGCACCUGUAAUCCCAGCUUCUCGGGAGGCUGAGGCAGGAGAAUUGCUUGAACCUGGGAGGCGGAGGUUACAGUGAGCCGAGAUUGCGCCAUUGCAUUCCAGCCUGGGCAACAGAGCGAGACUUCAUCUCAAAAUUAAUAAUAAUAAAGAUUGAGAGGAAAACGUCACAUUUUCUGAAUGGUUAAUUAUUAUAUUAGUGAUAGCAGCCUGAGUCUUAAAAAUUCUCCCUUAAGGACAAGCAUGUGGCUCACACUUAUAAUCCUAACACUUUAGGAGGUCAAGGCAGGAGAAUCACUUGGCUCAGAAGUUCUGAGACCAGCCUAGGCAACAUAGGGAAACACUGUCUCUACAAAAAAAUUUAGCUGGGCAUGGUGGCAUUCUGUGGUCACAGCUACUUGGGAGGCUUAGGUGGGAGGAUUGCUUGGGCCAGGAGGUCGAGGCUGCAGUGACAGCCUAGGUGACAGCAACCCUGGUGUCACCUGGUGAAAAAAAGGUGACCCUGUCUCAAAAAAAAAUAAAAAUUAUCCCUUAAGAUAGAGUGGAAACUGCAUGUGGAUAAAUGAGAGUUGACUGUUUUUGAGUCCUAGAAAUGAAAUUUGCUGCAUAUGUAUAAAUACAUUUCUUACAUAUUUGUAAAGUAUGUUCCUUAUGCACUAAGCUCUAUAAUUUUAUACAAAGUUACUAGCAACUGCUUAAUUUAAUCUUGUUGACAAAUUUUGGGUGCACUAGAAGCAAAAACCUUCCUAUUUGUGGCAGUGAUAAAUAACUGAUACAUGACAGAUUUUUUGGCCAGGCGCAGUGACCCACGCCUGUAAUCCCAGCAUUUUGGGAGUCCAAGGUAGGCGAAUCACUUGAGGCCAGGGUUCCAGAACAGCCAGGCCAACAUGGUGAAACCCCAUCUCUACUAAAAAUACAAAAGUUAGCCAGACGUGGUGGUGCAAGUGCCUGGUGCAAGUGCCUAUAAUCCCAGCUACUCGGGAGGCUGAGGCACGAGAAUCACUUGAACCUGGGAGGCAGAGGUUGCAGUGAGCCAAGAUCGUGCUACUGCACUCCAGCCUGGGUGACAGAGCAAGACUACGUCUCAAAAAAAAGAUUUUUUAAUGUAUCUAUGACCCUUUAUAGAAGACAUAGUCUUUCAUCAUUAUCAUCAUACUUAUGUACUGAUAUAUACUACAUAGGUUUUUUUAGUGUUUAUGGCAGUAAAAGCAAUUUGUUACCUUUCUAUACAAGUUUUCAAAGGAUUUCAAGAUGCUCAUAUUUAUUAUAUUCUUGUGAAAUACAUUAAAGGCAAAUAUGAUUUUGAAAUUAAUUAUAUCUUGGAAAUGGCCCUGACAAUCUAGUAUAUCAUUGGUAUCAUCCCAUACAACUACCACCAGCCAUAUAGAAGUACCUUUAACUUAGCAAAACUCACUAUUACCACUUCUGUUGGUUAAGCACCCCCUACUCCAGAAACUAAUAUUUGUAUGUGAAAUAUGACCAUUAUAAUCUUAAAUCGGAUAAUUCUCUAUUAAUAAUUGAUUUUACUAUUUCAAAGACUAUGUUUAUUUCAGUUUAGAUUUUCUAAUUUAUACUUGGAUGAAAAACUUUAAAUCAGGAGACUUGCUGAAAAAGAUAUGUAUUAAAGCAAGAAUUUUUUUUUUCUUUUUUUUGAGACGGAGUCUCACUCUGUCGCCCAGGCUAGAGUGCAGUGGCGCAAUCUCGGCUCACUGCAAGCUCCACCUCCCGGGUUCACGCCAUUCUCCUGCCUCAGCCUCCUGAGUAGCUGGGAUUACAGGCAUGCGCCACCACCCCCAGCUAAUUUUGUAUUUUUAGUAGAGACGGGGUUUCUCCAUGUUGGCCAGGCUGGUCUCAAACUCCUGACCUCAGGUGAUCCACCCGCCUUGGCCUCCCAAAGUGCUGGGAUUACAGGCAUGAGCCACCGCUCCCGGCCAGAAUUUUUUUUCUUAAUCUUUACAACUUUUCUGUAAAAAGCAAGAAUCUUAAUAAGAUAUACUAUUAAUAAAAUGAAGCUCCCGAAAAAAAAAAAAAAAAACUUUGUCUUUUACUGUCUGUUAACCCUUUCACAUGACCUAUUAUAGAGCAAUAAUAUAAGUGCUAAAAUUUAUUCACAAGGUUUUUUAUUUUAUUUUAUUUUAUUUUGAGACAGAGUCAUGGUCUGUCAUCUAGGCUGGACUGCAGUCGCAUGAUCAUGGCUCACUGCAGCCUCAACCUCUUAGGCUCAAGUGAUCCUCCCACCUCAAAGUAGCUGGGACUACAGGCAUGUGCCGCCAGUCCUGGCAAAUUUUUUAUUUUUUGAAGAGACAGGGUCUCACUGUGUUACCCAGGCUGGUCUUGAACUCCUGAGCUCAAGCAAUCCUCCCACCUCAGCCUCCCAAAAGCUGGGAUUACGAGUGUGAGCCAUCGCAACCGGCCUUAUUUUUCAUUUAUAUUUCUAUUUAUUUAAGAGACAGGGUCUUACUAUGUUGUCCAUGCUGGCCUCAAACUCCUGGGCUUAAAGGAUCCUCCUGCUUCAGCCUCCCAAGUAGCUGGGACUACAGGCACUUAAAUAGCCAGACUACAGUCUUAACUAUUUUUAUUAUUAAAAAAGAAUUAAUAAUAACAGACUUUAACACAAGGACAAAAAUGAAUCAAGAGCAAGGAGGAAAAGGGAAUGUGUCAUAAAGCAAAGGCUGAAAUUAAUAAAAUGGAAAACAUUAAAAAUCUUAAACCAAACUUUCGUUAUUUUUAAAUAACAAUAAAAAUAGAUACACUCUUGACAAGUCUAAGAAUGGUAAAAAGAAAGAAAAAUACACAUCAUUAGUAUCUUCAGUACACUUAUAGAAAAUAACUAACUGCCAGUCUAGCAUUCAAU
rnacentral:lncRNA from 1 species